AAUGAACGCUGGCGGCAUGCCUAACACAUGCAAGUCGAACGAGACCUUCGGGGCUAGUGGCGCACGGGUGUGUAACGCGUGGGAAUCUGCCCUUGGGGUUGGCAUAACAGUUGGAAACGACUGCCAAUACCGGAUGAUGACGUAAGCCCAAAGAUUUAUUGCCCAAGGAUGAGCCCGCGUAGGAUUAGCUAGUUGGUGAGGUAAAGGCUCACCAAGGCGACGAUCCUUAGCUGGUCUGAGAGGAUGAUCAGCCACACUGGGACUGAGACACGGCCCAGACUCCUACGGGAGGCAGCAGUGGGGAAUAUUGGACAAUGGGCGAAAGCCUGAUCCAGCAAUGCCGCGUGAGUGAUGAAGGCCUUAGGGUUGUAAAGCUCUUUUACCCGGGAUGAUAAUGACAGUACCGGGAGAAUAAGCUCCGGCUAACUCCGUG
rnacentral:rRNA from 1 species